GAGGAAGAAGGCACUUGUAUAGCAUGACUCUUGGAUGGCAGAACUCACUGCGCAGGAAAUACUUCAUACUAACACAUCAGUGGUGAUUUCUGAGCUGUCUGAGAUUCCCUGAGUUUCUACAUGUGCCUGCUGGACCUUGUUCUGUUGCCCCCUCCAGAAAAGGAAGCUCUCAUUGAAGGUGAAAGACUGAAGCCAAAAUGCAGCACAUACCAGACCAGCUGUGAUGCAGUCAGAAUCAGGAGUGGUUAGACUUCACCUGGAGCUUUGAAUCUGCUACUGUCUUUGAAGUAAUUAAUUUAUUCUUUGAGUUCAUUUGGCUCAUUCUCUCACCUUGAGGUCCUGAGUGCCCUGUUUGCAGGCUGCACCAACCUGCCAUCAUAUUGGCAGCAUGAGAAAAAAUGUAUAUUAGGAGAGGAGCAAAGGAGAGAGAAUAAAAUUAAUUUGAUCCACUCUCUAAAAUGAUGACACUUUAACAGAAGUAACUUAUGCAAGGGAUUGCAUGAACAUGAGUACUUCAUGCGUGAGUUCCUAUGGGGAUUGACUUGCUGCAGCCAAGGACAGAAUGGCUAUUUUGCCUUUUGGCUGCUGUUAUCUCAGUAUCACAUCCAGAGUCUAAGCCACACAGCUCAGCUCCCUCCCCCACAUUUUUAUUUCUCUCUUUUCUAUCAUCCUUUCAUUACA